AGAGUUUGAUCCUGGCUCAGGAUGAACGCUGGCGGCGUGCUUAAUACAUGCAAGUCGAACGAAGGAUUAGCAAUAGUUCUUAGUGGCGAACGGGUGAGUAACGCGUUGGUGAUCUGUCCCGAAGAUGGGGAUAACAGCUCGAAAGGGCUGCUAAUACCCGAUGUGGUUAUCGAGGUUAGAGGCUUGGUAACUGAAGGAGCAAUUCGCUUUGGGAGGGACCUGCGUCCCAUCAGCUAGUUGGUGAGGUAACGGCUCACCAAGGCGACGACGGGUAGGGGACCUGAGAGGGUGGCCCCCCACAAUGGAACUGAAACACGGUCCAUACACCUACGGGUGGCAGCAGUAGGGAAUAUUGGUCAAUGGGCGAAAGCCUGAACCAGCAACGCCGCGUGUGCGAUGAAGGCCUUCGGGUCGUAAAGCACUUUUCUGGGAGAUGAGAAAGGACAGUAUCCCAGGAAUAAGUCU
rnacentral:rRNA from 1 species